rnacentral:rRNA from 1 species
CAGCCGCCGCGGGAAUACGAAGGGUGCAAGCGUUACUCGGAAUUACUGGGCGUAAAGCGUGUGUAGGUGGUUGUUUAAGUCUGUCGUGAAAGCCCUGGGCUCAACCUGGGAAUUGCGAUGGAUACUGGGCGACUAGAGUGCGGUAGAGGAUAGUGGAAUUUCCGGUGUAGCAGUGAAAUGCGUAGAGAUCGGAAGGAACAUCUGUGGCGAAGGCGACUAUCUGGGCCAACACUGACACUGAGGCACGAAAGCGUGGGGAGCAAACAGGAUUAGAUACCCCUGUAGUCCCUGUCUCUUAUAC